rnacentral:rRNA from 1 species
CCUACGGGUGGCAGCAGUGGGGAAUAUUGCACAAUGGGCGCAAGCCUGAUGCAGCCAUGCCGCGUGUGUGAAGAAGGCCUUCGGGUUGUAAAGCACUUUCAGCGGGGAGGAAGGCGGUGAGGUUAAUAACCUCAUCGAUUGACAUUACCCGCAGAAGAAGCACCGGCUAACUCCGUGCCAGCAGCCGCGGUAAUACGGAGGGUGCAAGCGUUAAUCGGAAUUACUGGGCGUAAAGCGCACGCAGGCGGUCUGUCAAGUCGGAUGUGAAAUCCCCGGGCUCAACCUGGGAACUGCAUUCGAAACUGGCAGGCUAGAGUCUUGUAGAGGGGGGUAGAAUUCCAGGUGUAGCGGUGAAAUGCGUGGAGAUCUGGAGGAAUACCGGUGGCGAAGGCGGCCCCCUGGACAAAGACUGACGCUCAGGUGCGAAAGCGUGGGGAGCAAACAGGAUUAGAUACCCCUGUAGUC